CCCUUAGAUGUUCUGGGCUGCACGCGUGCUACACUGAUAUUGCCAAUAUGUCAUUCUUAUCCGAAAUGGAUUGGGUAAUCAAGUAAUGAAAUUUCAUGCUUGGAAUCGGUAAUUGCAAUUUUAUCGUGAACGAGGAAUUCCUAGUAAGCGCAAGUCAUCAGCUUGCGUUGAUUACGUCCCUGCCCUUUGUACACACCGCCCGUCGCUAGUACCGAUUGAAUGGCUUAGUGAGGCUUCAGGAUUUGCUUAGAUCGAGGGGCAACUCUCUUUCAGAGCGGAGAAUCUAGUCAAACUUGGUCAUUUAGAGGAACUAAAAGUCGUAACA
rnacentral:rRNA from 1 species